AGAACGAACGCUGGCGGCACGCCUAACACAUGCAAGUCGAGCGCCCAGCAAUGGGAGCGGCGGACGGGUGAGUAACACGUGGGAAUAUGCCUUUCGGUACGGAACAACUCAGGGAAACUUGAGCUAAUGCCGUAUACGCCCUUACGGGGAAAGAUUUAUCGCCGAAAGAUUAGCCCGCGUCUGAUUAGCUAGUUGGUGGGGUAAUGGCUCACCAAGGCUUCGAUCAGUAGCUGGUUUGAGAGAACGACCAGCCACACUGGGACUGAGACACGGCCCAGACUCCUACGGGAGGCAGCAGUGGGGAAUCUUGGACAAUGGGGAAACCCUGAUCCAGCGAUGCCGCGUGAGUGAUGAAGGCCUUCGGGUUGUAAAACUCUUUCGACGGGGACGAUAAUGACGGUACCCGUAGAAGAAGCUCGGCUAACUUCGCGCCAGCAGCCGC
rnacentral:rRNA from 1 species